UCAGGAUGAACGCUGGCGGCGUGCCUAACACAUGCAAGUCGAGCGAGAUACUGUGAACAGAGAUUCGUCAACGGGAUACAGUGGAAAGCGGCGGACGGGUGAGUAACGCGUAGGCAACCUGCCCCUUACACAGGGAUAGCCAUUGGAAACGAUGAUUAAAACCUGAUGACACCUGAGGAUGACAUCUUCCUGAGGUCAAAGAUUUAUCGGUAAGGGAUGGGCCUGCGUCUGAUUAGAUAGUUGGUGAGGUAACGGCCCACCAAGUCAACGAUCAGUAGCCGACCUGAGAGGGUGAUCGGCCACAUUGGAACUGAGACACGGUCCAAACUCCUACGGGAGGCAGCAGUGGGGAAUAUUGCACAAUGGGGGAAACCCUGAAUGCAGCAACGCCGCGUGAAGGAAGAAGGUCUUCGGAUCGUAAACUUCUGUCCUAGAGGAAGAUAAUGACGGUACUCUUGGAGGAAGCCCCGGCUAACUACGUGCCAGCCGCAGC
rnacentral:rRNA from 1 species